UCCGGUGGUGAUGGCUGGGGGGUUCCACCCGUUCCCAUCCCGAACACGGUAGUUAAGACCCCAUGCGCCGAUGGUACUUGGUUGGAAACGGCCUGGGAGAGUAGGUCGCCGCCGGUU
rnacentral:rRNA from 1 species